UGGGGAAUAUUGCACAAUGGGGGAAACCCUGAUGCAGCGACGCCGCGUGAACGAAGAAGGUAUUCGUAUCGUAAAGCUCUGUCCUAUGGGAAGAUAAUGACAGUACCAUAGAAGAAAGCUCCGGCUAAAUACGUGCCAGCAGCCGCGGUAAUACGUAUGGAGCGAGCGUUGUCCGGAAUUAUUGGGCGUAAAGGGUACGCAGGCGGUUUAAUAAGUCGAAUGUUAAAGAUCGGGGCUCAACCCCGUAAAGCAUUGGAAACUGAUAAACUUGAGUAGUGGAGAGGAAAGUGGAAUUCCUAGUGUAGUGGUGAAAUACGUAGAUAUUAGGAGGAAUACCAGUAGCGAAGGCGACUUUCUGGACACAAACUGACGCUGAGGUACGAAAGCGUGGGGAGCAAACAGG
rnacentral:rRNA from 1 species